GCCCCAGCCUCCCAGAGUGCUGGGAUUACAGGCAUGAGCCACCACGCCUGGCCAAGACCAUAAAUCUUAAUUAAUCUAGUUCAUAGUCUCAAAUUCAUUCUACUCUCUGAUUUUUAUUUCUCCCAACUUACUGUGUGCACGCACCCCCCCUUUUUAAUGACAUUUCUCUGAUUUGCACUGCCAUCCUCUCUCCUACUUCAGUGAUCCAGCAUCCACAAUUCAUUUUGUCAUAGGUGAGGCUUACCUCUUUCCUGUCAGUUCUUCACCUGUACAGAUUGCUUCCUUUUCUCUUUUUGCACUUAUUGUUUGCAACACCCAAUGACUUCUUGUAGAGAGCCCAAUUCUGUAGUUGAUAAAACCCACACAUGCACGUAUGUUACAUCUGGCUCGGAAUUGGAAGCUCCAUGGAGAAAGGAAAUGGCUUUUGUUUCUUCAGUAUCUUCACACUCCCAAAUGUGCUGAUAUCUUUAGUCGUUCUUAGCUAAAUGAGUCAAUUGAAAUAAUAAUCUGGAGGGAUUUUUUUAAAUCUCAAAAAUUUUCUAAGUCCCAUGUCUCUUAAAUGAAAAAUUGUCAAAUGAAGGAGCCAUUUUCAGGAUUUUAAUUUAUGUAUUAAUGGUACUCUACUUCCACCCCAAAAGGAUUUAAGGUGAGCUUAAAAUAUUAUGAAAAUAAGAUAAGAUUAUUAAUUCCAUCCAUGCAAGCUCUAAAAUCUUCUAUUUCUAGAUACUAAUCUAAACAAUGAAGAGGUUAUUUUUUAAAGACAAAAGGUGUGCUUUAUAAUAUCUCUCAUUAUCAUGUUAAGAAAAAAAACCAAAAACACAGAUAAAAAAUUUCAGAAAUAUUUUUGCGUUUUCUUUGCAUAUCAUACACAUACACACACACACAUACAUACAUACACAGUCACACUAGAACUGUACUGGCAGUGAACAUAGGUUGUUUAAAGUAUAGCUAUUCAACUGUCAUAUAAAGUGAAAUCUAUAUUUUCUCUCUCCCUAUAUGACUAUAUAUUUAACAUCUCUAUGCAUAUGUGUGUGCAUACAUAUGUAUAUGUUAUAUACACACACUCCACAUUAUUAUUUCAAAGGGGAUUUUGCUCCUUCUGGCUACCAGCAAUAACUAGUCAAUAUUUACACUCUUGAAUAUCGAUGACAUCAUGCAUACACAGGAAAGCUGUGGAAAACAUCUCCAUUUUCAAACAGAGUUUUAAUUAUUUGUAAAGACUUCAAUUGUUCACUAAUGUCAUGGAUUGGUCCUCACAGUGUGAAGUGCAACUGCCCAGAUCCCCCACAGUAUUAUAAAUAGUCUUCUAAAGCCGGGUUGAUUGAUGUUUGGCAUAAAACUCUAUUCCUCUGAGCACAUAUAUUCCUUCUGUUCACUAUUUUCAUAGAAAAAUACCAGGGCUGAUUUUUUAUUCAAAUCUCCAAUUUAUGCAGGGUUUAAACUACUAAAUACUUAAAGCCGUUUUCAGAUCUUUCCCCCCUUUUCUGUUAGGUAGGUAACUAAAUCUUUGGCUUCAAUGCAAAUAAGAAUUGGAGAUUUAGCAGAUUCCUGUGGGGGAGAGGAAGAGUUUAUUAAUUAUAUUGAGAAUCAAAUAAUAUGCUUCUUUGACACUAAUGUUCCAUCUUUCUCCACCCCAAGUAUCCUAUGGGACAACUUUAAAGCCUUUAUCAGGGUCUAAAUUACUGCAUUUAUGGUUCCUUAGAAGUAGGAAUUUAAUGAAUGGCAUUCUGAGUUGAAGAGAGAAUUUGAAGGUUUAAGCUGCAACGGUGAAGCAAUUUUUUUCAAAGUAUGUGGCAGGGAUUGUAAUAUAAAACAUCAAAAAAAGCACAAUAAAAUACAUUUUCAUGAGUGUUAAUAAAUUUUUAAUACUGAUGAAAUGUAAAUUUUUCCUUCAUGACCCUUAUCUGCAUUUGACAGAGUCCAACAGAAAAUUUUAAGUACCUGUUUAAAGCAAUUUACAAGAUACUGUGGAGAUUCCCAGCAAUAAAGAAUGUACUAUAGUUAAGCUGGAAUCCAACUCCUGAAUUUCUGGAGCCCUGAAGACCACUUAGUCUUACUCACAAGAAUUGAAUGGAAUGUGAAUCUACACUCAGGUGAAGCCAGGGUAUUUUGAACGUCCCUACAAGACUGAAGCACCACUGGGAAAUAAGUAAUAGAGAUGCCAUCAUUGUGGAGGUCAUAAUGCUUGUCCUGAACACGAGGGGUCUCUAGUGAGGCACCAAUUCAGCUCCUCUUCUGUGGAGAGACUACAUGGGUGCUGAAGAAACAAAGACACAACGCAGCUCCUCUCAAAGGAGUUCAGAGCUUAGCAGGGGAGACAGAACCAUGAAUGCAUAGUUACGCAUCAAUGUGCUGCACGAGCACUGAAGCCCAAGCACAAGCGGCCUGAGUCCCAAAAACAUUUGCUGACUGCUGUUCUAUCUAGGAUAUCAUCAGUGUGUAGAUGAUCAGAGUUCAUGUCAGUGUUCCUACAAGCCAAUGAAGAAAAACAGAGAUCUGUGUUCUGAAUGGAAAAAUUCCUACUGAUGCCACCCACUAGUCUGGAACAAGUCAGUCUCAAACAUAACAACAGACACUGGGGAGCUCUCCAACAAAAGAUCACCUCCCAAAGAACAGGAUGGUGUCGAAGACUGAAUGCCAGCCUGAGGAAACAGAAAUACUACAGAAGCACGCCAGAGCCUGCAGUGUCUCCUCGCUGCCUCUCAAUGAACUGCUAAAAGACCAAGAACUCUGCUGAGAGAUAAGAAGAGGGGAGGGUGUGCUGCAGGUGGUGCUGGGAGGCCCAGACCUUCUCCUGACAUCUGGGGCUGGCUACAGGAAACAGAAACAUCACCCAGGCCUUGGCGCGAGACAGGACAGAGGCAGAUUGUGACUCAGAUCUGCAGGUGGAAAGUGGGCCUUUCGUUUUCUCCUAGGGGUAGAGCAAAGCCAGAGGGCUCAGUCAGAGGAAACCUAAGGCAGUUCAUGAUCCCUUCAACUUUAUACCAUUUCCUCAAAACUGCCUCCAAACAGUGGGCAACUGGAAAGGUGGUCUGACCUCCAGUGAUCACACAGUAUGCAUUAUAACAGAAGGCUGUCACUGUCAAUUGCAUGGCUCCCUCACUAUGCAUUCCUUCUAUCAAUUUACGACAACACACUGUAGUGAGUACCUGCACAUUGCUGGGUAUUUUGGCAGACAUUGAUAGUAGAUGAAUAACACCUGGUACUUGACCUUGAGACGCUCACUGCCUAGUGUGGGGAACCAAUGGUUGCAAUAUAAAGUAUUAACUAGAGGGAUAGAGGACUGCCUGAGGAUCUCUGCACUCAGAGGAAGGGCCAUGAGAUCAGCCAGGACAGUAGGGAGGCAGUGACUCAUGAAAUUAGCAAGUGGUGAGAAGAGGGCAGUAGAUUCAGCGGCUGCUAAAAAAGGUUACUGAACUUUUUGUUUCAUCAAUGCCAAGAAAUUAAUCUGUUUUAGCCUCUUUCAUGGCCUCUGUUUGAAAUUUUUUAACUUUUUUUUUUUUUUUAGAUUUAGGGGUACAAGGACAGUUGUAUUGCAUGAGUAUAUCAUAUAGUGGUGAAGCCUGGGCUUUAAGUGCACCUAUCACCCGAAUAGCGUACAUUGUACCCACUAGGUAGUAUUUCAUUUCUCACCCUUCUUCCACCUUUUGGAAUCUCCAGUGUUUGUUGUUCUACUCUGUAUGCCCAUGUGUACUCAUUGUUUCACUCCCACUUAUAAGUGAGAACAUGUGCUUUUGACUUUCUGUUUCUGAGUUGUUUCACUUAGGAUAAUGCAUGUUCCUGUUUUGAUUCAGUCAAAAUCCUGGGGUCAGCACUGACAAUGUGAUUAACCCCUGUCCUAAAUUCACUGCAGAGGAACUGCUCCCAUAUGACUACUUAUUACCACCCAAGCCAGAAACCACAAAGAUAUUCUGACCUCUCCUCCUUCACUCCCCACCAACUGGUGAGUAAGCUAGUCACCAAGUCUUGAUUCUACUUGCAAACAUCUUUGGAAGGGAUCUCUCACUCCACACAGUCUCUGUCAUUGCCAAGUAUACCCAUUACCUCUGCUCUGUCCUACGGCUCAUCAUUCCUCAUCUACAUGCUGCACCAACCUCCUAACUCCCAUUCCUCCCCCUCCUAGUUCACUGCCAUAGCGUAAUCUUUCUAUAUCACGGAUCAUAUUGU
rnacentral:lncRNA from 1 species